AGCGUGCCGGACGGCCGCAGGCGGCUUGACCGUCUGAGGAAAGUCCGAGCUCCGUAGGGCAGGGUGCCGGUUAACUGCCGGUGGAGGCGACUCCAAGGAAAGUGCAACAGAGAUAUACCGCGAAUUCCCGCAAGGGAACGCAAGGGUGGAAAGGCGAGGUAAGAGCUCACCAGCGGCAUGGCGACUUGUCCGCUCUGUAAACCCCACCCGGUGCAAGAUUGAUAGGGGAGUAUAUGCGGCGGCCCGUCGCGCUCCCGGGUAAUCGCUUGAGCCUGCUGGCAACCGCAGGCCUAGAUAGAUGGUCGUCCAAGACAGAACUCGGCUUAUAGACGCGU
rnacentral:RNase_P_RNA from 1 species